GAUGAACGCUGGCGGCGUGCCUAAUACAUGCAAGUCGAGCGAACGGACGAGAAGCUUGCUUCUCUGAUGUUAGCGGCGGACGGGUGAGUAACACGUGGAUAACCUACCUAUAAGACUGGGAUAACUUCGGGAAACCGGAGCUAAUACCGGAUAAUAUUUUGAACCGCAUUGUUCAAAAGUGAAAGACGGUCUUGCUGUCACUUAUAGAUGGAUCCGCGCUGCAUUAGCUAGUUGGUAAGGUAACGGCUUACCAAGGCAACGAUGCAUAGCCGACCUGAGAGGGUGAUUGGCUACACGGGAACUGAGACACGGUCCAGACUCCGACGGGAGGAAGCAGUAGGGAAUCUUCCGCAAUGGGGGAAAGCCUGACGGUGCAACGCCGCGUGAGGGAUGAAGGUCUUCGGAUCGUAAAACUCUGUUAUUAGGGAAGAACAUAUGUGUAAGUAACUGUGCACAUCUUGACGGUACCUAAUCAGAAAGCCACGGCUAACUACGUG
rnacentral:rRNA from 1 species